GAUGAACGCUGGCGGCGUGCCUAAUACAUGCAAGUCGAGCGAACAGACGAGGAGCUUGCUCCUCUGACGUUAGCGGCGGACGGGUGAGUAACACGUGGAUAACCUACCUAUAAGACUGGGAUAACUUCGGGAAACCGGAGCUAAUACCGGAUAAUAUAUUGAACCGCAUGGUUCAAUAGUGAAAGACGGUUUUGCUGUCACUUAUAGAUGGAUCCGCGCCGCAUUAGCUAGUUGGUAAGGUAACGGCUUACCAAGGCAACGAUGCGUAGCCGACCUGAGAGGAUGAUCAGCCACACUGGAACUGAGACACGGUCCAGACUCCUACGGGAGGCAGCAGUAGGGAAUCUUCCGCAAUGGGCGAAAGCCUGACGCAGCAACGCCGCGUGAGUGAUGAAGGUCUUCGGAUCGUAAAACUCUGUUAUUAGGGAAGAACAAAUGUGUAAGUAACUAUGCACGUCUUGACGGUACCUAAUCAGAAAGCCACGGCUAACUACGUG
rnacentral:rRNA from 1 species